AUGUUCCAAUACAUGUAUAGAAAGUGACCCAAACAAAUUUAUACUAUACGAUAUAUGGUAUAGUCUAGACAAAGAAGCCAGAUCUUCAAUACAUGCGUUCAGACAAGUUGCAGUAGCCUAAUGUUAUGACAUGGAUUGAGGCGAUAUAAACACACAAAAGAGAAGGCAAACACACAAAUAAUUGUCUCUAAACUCUAAACCGAAACGGUAGACCAUUAAACCCUAAACCCAAACCGUAUACCCUAAACCCAAAUUCUUAACCCAAACCGUAAACCCUUAACCCAAACCCUAAACCCAAAUUGUAAAACCAAACCAUCGCCCAUAACGGAGCUAUCUAAACCCUAAGCUUGAAGGUCUAAACCAUAAACCCAAACCGUAGCCCCUAAACCCAAACCCUAACCCAAAACCCUCCUAAACCCAAACUCUAAACCCUAAGCCCAAACCGUAAACCCUUAACCCAAACCCUAAACCCAAAUUGUAAAACCAAACCAUCGCCCAUAACGGAGCUAUCUAAACCCUAAGCUUGAAGGUCUAAACCAUAAACCCAAACCGUAGACCCUAAACCCAAACCCUAACCCAAAACCCUCCUAAACCCAAACUCUAAACCCUAAGCCCAAACCGUAAACCCUUAACCCAAACCCUAAACCCAAAUUGUAAAACCAAACCAUCGCUCAUAACGGAACUACCUAAACCCUAACUUUGAAGGUCUAAAAUAUACUAUAUUUCAUUAGGAAUAGUAUGGCAAUUGAUGAUAGUUACUAUAUUGAUGAAUGGGAAAGGAGGAAGAUGGAGAGGGUGAGGAGCUGGAGGGGAGGAGGAGGAAGGAGGAAAGAUAGUAGUAUGGAGGAAAGGAAGGAGGAAUGAAGAGAGACAGAGAAAGACCGGGGAAGGGAGGGGAGGAGAGAAAGAGUAGGAGGGAGUGUAAGAGUGAAAGCGACAUAGGAGGAAACUAUACUAUUUUGAUGAAUAGAUUAGUAUACUAUAAUGUAAUGUUUAUUCAAAUAUUGUAUGAAAGCUAUAUAAACUGUGAAUAUAAACAUGUAUGUGAAUCUCCAUUAACUUAGAGCAUUCAUUCAACACAAUAGUAAAAUAAAACAUAUUAACAAAGAGCAUUGUUUUUCUUCUCCAAUGCUACCCACCAUCUAAUUCUGAGAUGGUUAUUAGUGGCGGUGGUGCUGAAAAAUAAGACAAUGAAGCUGAUGGAGAAGUGAAAGAGAAGAAUUAGAAGGCGAAGGAGAUACACUUUGCCGAAGAGAAAGAGAAGAAUUAGCAUACUACACUGUAAUUAUAAAAUAGAAUAGAAUAUGUUACACAACAUUACUGUUCAUCUUCCCCAAUUCAAUUUAUCAUCUGCUUCUUCAUCACUAUCUCCAAUCCAACGAACCAAACAUCUUGCAUAUAUAAUCACCCACAAUACAACCGCCACAACCAAUCACCACAAGAACCGUAAAUAGCUUCUCGAACACCCUCACCCUCGCAAAGUAAAGCCGUAGAAACUAGUGGGCCCACCCCUAUCUUACGCGCAGCUUCUGGUUUUUUAGUCAUUAUACAUAAAUAU
rnacentral:lncRNA from 1 species